rnacentral:rRNA from 1 species
AUUGAACGCUGGCGGCAUGCCUUACACAUGCAAGUCGAACGGCAGCACGGGAGCAAUCCUGGUGGCGAGUGGCGAACGGGUGAGUAAUAUAUCGGAACGUGCCCAGUCGUGGGGGAUAACGCAGCGAAAGCUGUGCUAAUACCGCAUACGAUCUAUGGAUGAAAGCGGGGGAUCGCAAGACCUCGCGCGAUUGGAGCGGCCGAUAUCAGAUUAGCUAGUUGGUGGGGUAAAGGCCCACCAAGGCGACGAUCUGUAGCUGGUCUGAGAGGACGACCAGCCAAACUGGAACUGAGACACGGUCCAGACUCCUACGGGAGGCAGCAGUGGGGAAUUUUGGACAAUGGGCGCAAGCCUGAUCCAGCAAUGCCGCGUGCAGGAUGAAGGCCUUCGGGUUGUAAACUGCUUUUGUACGGAGCGAAACGGUCUGCCCUAAUACGGUGGGCUAAUGACGGUACCGUAAGAAUAAGCACCGGCUAACUACGUGCCAGCCGCCGCGGUAA